rnacentral:rRNA from 1 species
CCUACGGGGGGCAGCAGUGAGGAAUAUUGGUCAAUGGGCGCGAGCCUGAACCAGCCAAGUAGCGUGAAGGAUGACUGCCCUACGGGUUGUAAACUUCUUUUAUAAAGGAAUAAAGUGAGGCACGUGUGCCUUUUUGUAUGUACUUUAUGAAUAAGGAUCGGCUAACUCCGUGCCAGCAGCCGCGGUAAUACGGAGGAUCCGAGCGUUAUCCGGAUUUAAUGGGUUGAAAGGGAGCGUAGAUGGGUUGUUAAGUCAGUUGUGAAAGUUUGCGGCUCAACCGUAAAAUUGCACUUGAUACUGGCAGCCUUGAGUACAGUAGAGGUAGGCGGAAUUCGUGGUGUAGCGGUGAAAUGCGUAGAUAUCACGAAGAACUCCGGUUGCGAAGGCAGCCUACUAAGCUGCCACUGACAUUGAUGCUCGAAAGUGUGGGUAUCAAACAGGAUUAGAUACCCCUGUAGUC